rnacentral:lncRNA from 1 species
CCUUAGAGUUGCCAUCCAUAUAUUCCAUUUGUGGAGACAAUGACGGUUCACAAAGUAGAAAAUAUUAGAAUACGAAAACUUAUCAGAAAUUAUGAUAUUCUUGCCUAGCCGGUUGAUUACAUGAUAAACCAUUUCAUCGCUCCCCAAAAAGCUGCUAAUGAUUCCAGAACGGCGCAACAAUUUUACAUCUUCCGGGGAAUGGACGAGACAAUGCAUGAAGAAUGCAUAGUCCGUAACGUAUUUUUGAGGACUGCCAGUAAGGUAGUACUCAUAUGCAAUCAAAUUUCUGAACAAUGAUUCUGUUAAAUCAGAAAUUUCCCAUUCUGGAAUGAUCAAUGCUUUAUUUUUGAAUUCAAUACGAAAAAAACUAUUACCUUCCGACUUUUUGAAGGAAAUCCCAGCCUCACUGAGUUCUACAGCUGAAUUUAUAUUCAUCACGUCAUCUGGAUUUCCAGAAUGAGAUAAUAUCCUUGCAAAUGAAGAACACUGGAAGCCAUGUACAAUGCCAAGAAGAUGAAGAGCAUUAAUAGGGACUUCAGGAAGACCACUCACUGGGAAAAUUCCAUUUUGUAGUAAAGGCCAUAUUAGAGAAUUGACAUUGUCUAGAUCAUUGAUCUUGAUCACGUUGAACAAAUGAUCAAUGAUGAAAAAUGGAAUCUGAUUCUCAAAUACCAUUAGAUCAUGAAGCAAAUGACUUUGUAUAUGUCCAUACUGGAAAAUGGGGUCAUCCUC